rnacentral:rRNA from 1 species
AACGAACGCUGGCGGCAGGCUUAACACAUGCAAGUCGAACGCCCCGCAAGGGGAGUGGCGCACGGGUGAGUAACGCGUGGGAAUAUGCCCUUUAGUACGGAACAACGUCGGGAAACUGACGCUAAUACCGUAUAAUGUCUACGGACCAAAGAUUUAUCGCUAAAGGAGUAGCCCGCGUCUGAUUAGGUAGUUGGUGAGGUAACGGCUCACCAAGCCUACGAUCAGUAGCUGGUCUGAGAGGAUGAUCAGCCACACUGGGACUGAGACACGGCCCAGACUCCUACGGGAGGCAGCAGUGAGGAAUAUUGGACAAUGGGGGAAACCCUGAUCCAGCCAUGCCGCGUGAGUGAUGAAGGCCUUCGGGUUGUAAAGCUCUUUCGGGUGUGAAAAUGAUGAUGGUAACACCAGAAGAAGCCCCGGCUAACUCCGUGCCAGCCGCCGCCGUAACAC